GCCAGGCCGGGGAUGCGGGCGGCCUCGAGGCGAGGGGCGAUGCCCCCGGGCACCCACCGGGCCGCGCCCCGGCGGCACGACGGAUCUCGGGUUUCCAGUAAAAUAUAAAAGCAGCCCCGGCAUUUCAAGGCAAUUACGCAGAAGGGUCGAGAGAUACAGGCUGACACAGAGGAGCUGGACAACGUCACAUCUCCUAAUGCAUCGGGAUAACGUGAUAAGGCUUUCCAUCACACCGCGCUCGGGGCCACGGGAGAGCCGAGCAGUGACAAAGGGGAAGGUUGUGCAGAGCCACCUGGCUGCUCUUAACCCAACGAUGUCCUCUUUCGUCGGGCCUAAGUCAUUCCUUGUGCUUGGGAGGAACCAAGGCGGCAGCAAGCUGUGUUAAAGCUGACAAAGCCUGUGUUCAACUGCAGCCCUCGCAGCCUCUAUUGCCCAAGCCGAAGUUCAGCGAUGCCGUGCCAAGCGAUGACGUUGCCAGCCGUGGGAGGGAACCAAUCCGAAGCUAUGGGAAAAACAUUUUUGUGGAGAAACAUCACCUCCGAAACCAUAUAAACAAAUCAGUUUUGACAAAACUAAACAGAGAGCUAUAAAAGGAGAGUUUGGGAAAAACACCACUAAUUGGGUGGUGAUUCAUAUGGUGCCGGUCAGACUGCGUUUUUGUAAUCUCCAUUCCUGGGGGAUGAUUUUCCAGGCGCAGAGGAACGUGCAAGCAGCCCGGCCAGAUGUGGGCUGGGAGACAGAGAGGAGCAAACAGAGCUGAGAGCGCAGGGACAGCAGCUCCGGAGCUGGGGGCUCCCAGAAAAACAGCAAAACGAAUGGGAUCAUCCCAAAGCAGGGCACGAGAUGCUUCACCCGCUGCCCUGUGUCAGCUGGGGGCAGUGGGAGCAGGACCACUUUGCUCAGGUGUCCCAGCGGUGGAGGUGAGGCUGUGCCCGCGGCAUCUGCUGCAUCUGUGCUGUGUUUUCACUGGGAACAGCAGAGCGUAAAAGCCACGGCCGGGCAGCUGCACGAGAAACUAAUCACUUUUAAUCUGGUUAGAAAACUUCAGCCCUUGGGGAAAAACAGCACAGCUUUCUGGAGCUUGGCCGGGAGACCGCUGGAUGUCAGGUUUAGAAGAAAUAAAUUAAAUUUGUAUUAGGGUCUGCAAUCACUUCUCCGCUUUGAGAGGCUAUUUCAGAGAGCAGGAGAGCAAUAACCUGUGAGGAGAUGAAAUCCAUAGCAGAGGUGCAGGUCCUCUGCGCACCGAAAUGGCCCCAUUACCAGGAACAUAGUUCCAGCAAGAGCUGCUCUUAUUGGCCUCCAAUUUUUGUUUUAUUCUUUUUCAAAAGAUCUGUUUCUCCAGCACGCCGUUUCAGGCAGCAAUAAAACAUGAUGGGCUGCUGCCCUGCACUGCGCGCUCCGAGGGGCGCAGAGAUCACAGAGAGCCUUUGUAGAAAUGCGCAUCGGGUCUGUAACUCAAAACCCACUGAGUUCACAUUGAGUAGGGGGCCCUACUCCUAUCCCAUCUCAACCAUCAUGAAAAACCAUUGCUUUCCAUAACCCACAGUCAGCAAAGACCAAAAAAGGUGCCUUUUUCCCCC